GACGAACGCUGGCGGCGUGCCUAAUACAUGCCAGUAGAACGCACAGUUUAUACCGUAGCUUGCUACACCAUAGACUGUGAGUUGCGAACGGGUGAGUAACGCGUAGGUAACCUGCCUGGUAGCGGGGGAUAACUAUUGGAAACGAUAGCUAAUACCGCAUAAUAUUGAUUAUUGCAUGAUAAUUAAUUGAAAGGUGCAAUUGCACCACUACCAGAUGGACCUGCGUUGUAUUAGCUAGUAGGUGAGGUAACGGCUCACCUAGGCGACGAUACAUAGCCGACCUGAGAGGGUGAUCGGCCACACUGGGACUGAGACACGGCCCAGACUCCUACGGGAGGCAGCAGUAGGGAAUCUUCGGCAAUGGACGAAAGUCUGACCGAGCAACGCCGCGUGAGGGAAGAAGGUUUUCGGAUCGUAAAGCUCUGUUGUAAGAGAAGAACGGGUGUGAGAGUGGAAAGUUCACACUGUGACGGUAUCUUACCAGAAAGGGACGGCUAACUACGUG
rnacentral:rRNA from 1 species